GUAGGUGGCAAGCGUUAUCCGGAUUUACUGGGUGUAAAGGGCGUGUAGGCGGGGCUGCAAGUCAGAUGUGAAAUCUCAUGGCUCAACCAUGGAACUGCAUUUGAAACUGUAGAUCUUGAGUGAUGGAGAGGCAGGCGGAAUUCCGUGUGUAGCGGUGAAAUGCGUAGAUAUACGGAGGAACACCAGUGGCGAAGGCGGCCUGCUGGACAUUAACUGACGCUGAGGCGCGAAAGCGUGGGGAGCAAA
rnacentral:rRNA from 1 species